rnacentral:sRNA from 1 species
AUUUAAGCACGACUCUGCAGAAGGAACAAAGCACCCUCCCCACUGGGCUCCUGGUUGCAGAGCUCCAAGUCCUCACACAGAUACGCCUGUUUGAGAAGCAGCGGGCAAGAAAGACGCAAGCCCAGAGGUCCAUCCAAGCUGAAUGAUCGCGUUGACUCAAGAAGAAGCCUUUGGGACCAAGGAAACUUUACCCUGAUCAUCAAGAAUCUUAAGAUAGAAGACUCAGAUACUUACAUCUGUGAAGUGGGGGACCAGAAGGAGGAGGUGCAAUUGCUAGUGUUCGGAUUGACUGCCAACUCUGACACCCACCUGCUUCAGGGGCAGAGCCUGACCCUGACCUUGGAGAGCCCCCCUGGUAGUAGCCCCUCAGUGCAAUGUAGGAGUCCAAGGGGUAAAAACAUACAGGGGGGGAAGACCCUCUCCGUGUCUCAGCUGGAGCUCCAGGAUAGUGGCACCUGGACAUGCACUGUCUUGCAGAACCAGAAGAAAGUGGAGUUCAAAAUAGACAUCGUGGUGCUAGGGUGAUGAAUAUGCCUCUAAGGAGUGGAGGCCAAAUGGCUUCUGUGGUCCAGGAAUCCUAAGGACAGCAAGGAUCCCCUGUGGCUGGGCUGCUCUGUGAUGGCUUCCGGGAGGAGGGAGGUGGCCUGCUGUAGGAAAAUGCUGGGUGGAAGAAGGGAGAGAAGGCUGGAGAGGUAGGAAGGAACUGAAGUAUCUGAAAUGACAAGGUGGGUGUCUGGACUCGUCGGGUCCCCUUCCAUCUCCCUACCGCCUCCACAUGCCAACCCCACUCGUGCACCCUCAUCUUCCUAUCUCCUCACCCAGGGUCUCUCCCUUCCCACCUCCAGCUUUCCAGAAGGCCUCCAGCAUAGUCUAUAAGAAAGAGGGGGAACAGGUGGAGUUCUCCUUCCCACUCGCCUUUACAGUUGAAAAGCUGACGGGCAGUGGCGAGCUGUGGUGGCAGGCGGAGAGGGCUUCCUCCUCCAAGUCUUGGAUCACCUUUGACCUGAAGAACAAGGAAGUGUCUGUAAAACGGGUUACCCAGGACCCUAAGCUCCAGAUGGGCAAGAAGCUCCCGCUCCACCUCACCCUGCCCCAGGCCUUGCCUCAGUAUGCUGGCUCUGGAAACCUCACCCUGGCCCUUGAAGCGAAAACAGGAAAGUUGCAUCAGGAAGUGAACCUCGUGGUGAUGAGAGCCACUCAGCUCCAGAAAAAUUUGACCUGUGAGGUGUGGGGACCCACCUCCCCUAAGCUGAUGCUGAGCUUGAAACUGGAGAACAAGGAGGCAAAGGUCUCGAAGCGGGAGAAGGCGGUGUGGGUGCUGAACCCUGAGGCGGGGAUGUGGCAGUGUCUGCUGAGUGACUCGGGACAGGUCCUGCUGGAAUCCAACAUCAAGGUUCUGCCCACAUGGUCCACCCCGGUGCAGCCAAUGGCCCUGAUUGUGCUGGGGGGCGUCGCCGGCCUCCUGCUUUUCAUUGGGCUAGGCAUCUUCUUCUGUGUCAGGUGCCGGCACCGAAGGCGCCAAGCACAGCGGAUGUCUCAGAUCAAGAGACUCCUCAGUGAGAAGAAGACCUGCCAGUGCCCUCACCGGUUUCAGAAGACAUGUAGCCCCAUUUGAGGCACGAGGCCAGGCAGAUCCCACUUGCAGCCUCCCCAGGUGUCUGCCCCGCGUUUCUUGCCUGCGGACCAGAUGAAUGUAGCAGAUCCCAGGCCUCUGGCCUCCUGUUCGCCUCCUCUACAAUUUGCCACUGUUUCUCCUGGGUUAGGCCCCGGCUUCACUGGUUGAGUGUUGCUCUCUAUUUUCUAGAGGCUUAAUCACACCAUCCUCCACGCCAUUUCCUUUUCCUUCAAGCCCUAGCCCUUCUCUCAUUAUUUCUCUCCGACCCUCUCCCCACUGCUCAUUUGGAUCCCAGGGGAGUGUUCAGGGCCAGCCCUGGCUGGCAUGGAGGGUGAGGCUGGGUGUCUGGAAGCAUGGAGCAUGGGACUGUUCUUUUACAAGACAGGACCCUGGGACCACAGAGGGCAGGAACUUGCACAAAAUCACACAGCCAAGCCAGUCAAGGAUGGAUGCAGAUCCAGAGGUUUCUGGCAGCCAGUACCUCCUGCCCCAUGCUGCCCGCU